GUUUUUAUAGUUUAAAACUAAAACAUUGGUCUUGUAAAUCAAAAAUAAGUAAUUUCUUUAAAAACU
rnacentral:tRNA from 1 species